CAGUAGCCACGGUAAUACGAAGGUCCAGAGCGUUGUUCGGAAUCACUGGGCGUAAAGGGAGCGUAGGCGGCGUGGUAAGUCAGAUGUGAAAUCCCGGGGCUCAACCCCGGAACUGCAUCCGAUACUGCCAUGCUAGAGGAUUGGAGAGGUAGCUGGAAUUCUUGGUGUAGCAGUGAAAUGCGUGGAGAUCAAGAGGAACACCCGUGGCGAAAGCGAGCUACUGGACAAUAACUGACGCUGAGGCUCGAAGGCCAGGGUAGCGAAAGGGAUUAGAUACCCCAGUAGUCCCUGUCUCUUAUAC
rnacentral:rRNA from 1 species